UACGUAGGGCGCAAGCGUUGUCCGGAUUUAUUGGGCGUAAAGAGCUCGUAGGCGGUCUGUCGCGUCGGAUGUGAAAACCCGGAACUCAACUCCGGGCCUGCAUUCGAUACGGGCAGACUUGAGUACUGCAGGGGAGACUGGAAUUCCUGGUGUAGCGGUGAAAUGCGCAGAUAUCAGGAGGAACACCGGUGGCGAAGGCGGGUCUCUGGGCCGAUACUGACGCUGAGGAGCGAAAGCGUGGGGAGCGAACAGG
rnacentral:rRNA from 1 species